AAAUUGAAGAGUUUGAUCAUGGCUCAGAUUGAACGCUGACGGUAAGCUUAACACAUGCAAGUCGAGCGGCAACAGAGAGCUGCAAUUUUUCAUAUGUGGCUCUGUCUGGCAAGCGGCAAACGGGUGAGUAAAGUCUGGGGAUCUGCCCGAUGGAGGGGGACAACUAUUGGAAACGAUAGCUAAUACCGCAUGAAGUCUUUACGACCAAAGUAGGGGAUUUUUAUUAUUAAUAAAAACCUUAUGCCACCGGAUGAACCCAGAUAGGAUUAGCUAGUAGGCGGGGUAAUAGCCCACCUAGGCUACGAUCCUUAGCUGGUCUGAGAGGACGAUCAGCCACACUGGAACUGAGACACGGUCCAGACUCCUACGGGAGGCAGCAGUGGGGAAUAUUGCACAAUGGGGGAAACCCUGAUGCAGCUAUACCGUGUGUGUGAAGAAGGCCUUCGGGUUGUAAAGCACUUUCAAUGGGGAAGAACUUAAUAUUGCUAAUAUCAAUAUUAAUUGACGUUACCCAUACAAGAAGCACCGGCUAACUCCGUGCCAGCAGCCGCGGUAAUACGGAGGGUGCGAGCGUUAAUCGGAAUUACUGGGCGUAAAGAGUACGUAGGUGGUUUGUUAAGUCAGAUGUGAAAUCCCUAAGCUCAACUUAGGAACUGCAUUUGAAACUGGCAAGCUAGAGUUUCGUAGAGGGGGGUAGAAUUCCAGGUGUAGCGGUGAAAUGCGUAGAGAUCUGGAGGAAUACCAGUGGCGAAGGCGGCCCCCUGGACGGAAACUGACACUCAGGUACGAAAGCAUGGGGAGCAAACAGGAUUAGAUACCCUGGUAGUCCAUGCCGUAAACGAUGUCGAUUUGAAGGUUGUGGACUUUGAGCUGUGACUUUCGGAGCUAACGCGUUAAAUCGACCGCCUGGGGAGUACGACCGCAAGGUUAAAACUCAAAUGAAUUGACGGGGGCCCGCACAAGCGGUGGAGCAUGUGGUUUAAUUCGAUGCAACACGAAGAACCUUACCUACUCUUGACAUCCAAAGAAUCUUAUAGAGAUAUGAGAGUGCCUUCGGGAACUUUGAGACAGGUGCUGCAUGGCUGUCGUCAGCUCGUGUUGUGAAAUGUUGGGUUAAGUCCCGCAACGAGCGCAACCCUUAUCCUUUGUUGCCAACGAGUCAAGUCGGGAACUCAAAGGAGACUGCCGGUGAUAAACCGGAGGAAGGUGAGGAUGACGUCAAGUCAUCAUGGCCCUUAUGAGUAGGGCUACAAACGUGCUACAAUGGCGUAUACAAAGAGAAGCAAUCUCGUGAGAGUAAGCAAACCUCACAAAGUAUGUCUUAGUCCGGAUUGGAGUCUGCAACUCGACUCCAUGAAGUCGGAAUCGCUAGUAAUCGUGGAUCAGAAUGUCACGGUGAAUGUCACGUUCCCGGGCCUUGUACCGCCCGUCACACCAUGGAAGUGGGUUGCAAAAGAAGUAAGUGGCUUAACCUUAGGGAGGGCGCUUACUACUUUGUGAUUCAUGACUGGGGUGAAGUCGUAACAAGGUAACCGUAGGGGAACCUGCGGUUGGAUCACCUCCUUA
rnacentral:rRNA from 1 species